UACGAAGGGGGCUAGCGUUGUUCGGAAUUACUGGGCGUAAAGCGCACGUAGGCGGAUCGAUCAGUCAGGGGUGAAAUCCCAGGGCUCAACCCUGGAACUGCCUUUGAUACUGUCGAUCUGGAGUAUGGAAGAGGUGAGUGGAAUUCCGAGUGUAGAGGUGAAAUUCGUAGAUAUUCGGAGGAACACCAGUGGCGAAGGCGGCUCUCUAGUACGGUACUGACGCUGAGACGCGAAAGCGUGGGGAGCGAACAGG
rnacentral:rRNA from 1 species